GCGCUCGUAGCUCAAUGGAUAGAGUACUGGCCUCCGAAGCCAGGGGUUGUGGGUUCGAUCCCCGCCGAGCGCGCCA
rnacentral:tRNA from 9 species